rnacentral:rRNA from 1 species
ACUCAAAGGAAUUGACGGGGGCCCGCACAAGCAGUGGAUUAUGUGGUUUAAUUCGAAGCAACGCGAAGAACCUUACCAGGUCUUGACAUCCCAUGCAUACUCUAGAGAUAGAGGAAGUUCUUCGGAACAUGGAGACAGGUGGUGCAUGGUUGUCGUCAGCUCGUGUCGUGAGAUGUUGGGUUAAGUCCCGCAACGAGCGCAACCCUUACGAUUAGUUGCUACGCAAGAGCACUCUAAUGGGACUGCCGUUGACAAAACGGAGGAAGGUGGGGAUGACGUCAAAUCAUCAUGCCCCUUACGACCUGGGCUACACACGUAAUACAAUGGCACUAUAACAGAGGGAAGCAAAGCCGCGAGGUGGAGCAAAACCCCAAAAAGUGUCUCAGUUCGGAUCGCAGGCUGCAACUCGCCUGCGUGAAGUCGGAAUUGCUAGUAAUCGCGGAUCAUCAUGCCGCGGUGAAUACGUUCCCGGGCCUUGUACACACCGCCCGU